rnacentral:rRNA from 1 species
GACGCACGCUGGCGGCGUGCUUAACACAUGCAAGUCGAACGGAAAGGCCCUGCUUUUGUGGGGUGCUCGAGUGGCGAACGGGUGAGUAACACGUGAGUAACCUGCCCUCGACUUUGGGAUAACUUCAGGAAACUGGGGCUAAUACCGGAUAGGAGCUCCUGCUGCCUGGUUGGGUUUGGAAAGUUUCGCCGGCUGGGGAUGGACUCGCGGCUUUUCAGCUGGUUCGUGGGUUAGUGGCUUACCAAGGCUUUUACGGGUAGCCGGCCUGAGAGUGUGACCGGCCACUUUGGGUAUAACAUACGGCCCAGACUCCUACGGGAGGCAGCAGUGGGGAAUAUUGCACAAUGGGCGGAAACCUGAUACAGCAACGCCGCGUGCGGAGUGACGACCUUCGAAUUGUUAACCGCUUUCGACUGAGACGAAGCGUGAGUAGCGGUAAUGGGUAAAGAAGCACAGGCUAACUACGUG